rnacentral:rRNA from 1 species
AGGACGACGGCUGGCGGCGUGCCUAACACAUGCAAGUCGAGCGGUUCAAUACGAGCAGAGAUUCGUCGAAGCUAGUAUUGGAUAGCGGCGGACGGGUGAGUAACACGUGGGCAACCUGCCUUCGACUGGGGGAUAACACCGGGAAACCGGUGCUAAAUACCGCAUAACAUGAGCGAGUAGCAUUACUUGCACAUCAAAGGAGGAAUCCGGUUGAAGAUGGGCCCGCGUCCGAUUAGCUAGUUGGUGAGGUAACGGCCCACCAAGGCGACGAUCGGUAGCCGAACUGAGAGGUUGAUCGGCCACAUUGGGACUGAGACACGGCCCAGACUCCUACGGGAGGCAGCAGUGGGGAAUAUUGCGCAAUGGGGGGAACCCUGACGCAGCAACGCCGCGUGAAGGAUGAAGGUUUUCGGAUUGUAAACUUCUUUGGCAGGGGACGAAAAAGGACGGUACCCUGAGAACAAGCCACGGCUAACUACGUG